UACAGAGGUCCCAAGCGUUGUUCGGAUUCAUUGGGCGUAAAGGGUGCGUAGGCGGUCUGUCGCGUCGGCUGUGAAAACCCGAGGCUCAACCUCGGGCCUGCAGUCGAUACGGGCAAACUAGAGUACUGCAGGGGAGACUGGAAUUCCUGGUGUAGCGGUGAAAUGCGCAGAUAUCAGGAGGAACACCGGUGGCGAAGGCGGGUCUCUGGGCAGUAACUGACGCUGAGGAGCGAAAGCGUGGGGAGCGAACAGG
rnacentral:rRNA from 1 species